GAUCCUGCCAGUAGUCAUAUGCUUGUCUCAAAGA
rnacentral:rRNA from 1 species